UACAGGGGGUGCAAGCGUUUGUUCGGAAUUACUGGGCGUAAAGCGCGGGCAGGUGGCCCUUUAAGUCCUUUGUGAAAUCCCGGACUCAACUCCGGAUGUGCAUAGGAUACUGGAGGGCUUGAGACUGGUAGAGGCGAGCGGAAUUCCUGGUGUAGCGGUGGAAUGCGUAGAUAUCAGGAAGAACACCGGUGGCGAAGGCGGCUCGCUGGGCCAGAUCUGACACUCAGCCGCGAA
rnacentral:rRNA from 1 species